rnacentral:ribozyme from 1 species
GAAAAUAAUAAAGAAGAAAUCAGAACAAUAUAACAACACAUUUCAAUUAAACGUGUUUUGAACUUUUUCUUUUCU